UCACAGAUCAGCUCUGUGGGGAAGAGGUGAGCAAGGCCCGCAAGCUGUGUGGAUGCAGGAUGUGCCUGGAGGACUUGGCAGAGUACCUGCACCUUCCUGUGACAGAUACACUACAGGAUGUCUUUGCCCUCUUUGAGGAGCAUGGACAGAUGGAUGUGAGGGAGUAUAUCUUAGCCCUGUCUGUGGUCUGCAGUCCCUUUUAACAUCUGGAGACUCUUCAGCUUGCCUUCACGAGGCUUUGUGCUACUGGGUACUCAUCAGCGGUUGUAUCUAUCCUCACCGAUAUGCCAGGAGAUGGUGGAAGCAGGUCUGCAGCAAACACUUCAGGAGGAAAGUGCCUGCUCUCAGGAGGAGUGUGAACUACAACGCCUGCCAAGUCGCCAGAAGUCAAGUCACACGGAAAUAAUUCCAUACUGCUCUUCAUGCAGCGCUAACCACCGUUGCCAUGUACUGUACUGCUCCAAAAUGAAGCUUUUGUCUCUGUGGAAAGUUCCAUACAUGCCCUUGACGCCAUGUUCACUGAUGAGACGGUGUGCUUCAGAUCUUCACAGAGCUCCUUUCCCACCAAACGUUCCUCAUUCCCCUGCAUCCUUAUGCCUGCUUGUUUUAUUUUGUUUAAUGGUCAACUCAUAUCUCCAACACUUCCUUGGGCCUCCUGAUGAGAAACAACAGCGACAUACUUCAGAAUCAAAUCAAACCUUAGAAUUAAGUGCAGACUUUAUGUUGGUCUCUUGUGCAAUAACUGUUGAUUUAACAACACACAGCUCACCAGCAACCAAUUAAAGAACCAACUGGGCAAUUUCUUAUGGGGUCUUGGAUGGAGGUGGUGGGAGCAUUGUAUGAAAAGGGUCAGGCUUCCUUCAGGGUUUGCCCAAUACAGC